AUGAUGAGCAUGAUGCAUACACUUGUUGGGUAUCUUGCUACACGAAUGAUAGGUUUUGCACUUCCGCUAACCUCAUUUUGUUUUUCCGAGUGUUUGCCAUGUUCUUUCGUUUUGAAGGAUUCACAAGGUGGCGCCAUCACGAGACAUAUUGGUCAGCCAAAGGUCUACAUGAUGCGCGACACCAACAUUUUCGACAUCCUCAUAACGGUGAACUCCUUCCCUUUGAGCCAUCCUCACAUAGACAUGUUGGAUGGGUCACUCUUUCAUUGUUGUUUCCUUCUUGUUGUCUACAUGAUGCAUCUCGCGAACGGAGGAGCGACAAUGGAGAUUGGCCCUAUGGACCUUCACAUUGAGGAGCGCUCGCACUUAUUGGAUGCACCUUCGGAACUCCACUCAUGCCACGACAUCGAGCUUUGGUACAUCAAUACUCCUUUGACUUUUUGUACCACAACAUCCAUAUUUGUUAUUGUGCUACCACAUGUCAUGCUCAAUGGACAUUUCAUACUCACCGCAAGUUUGCACCCUAUGCAUGGAUUGACUCACAUUAUCAUUGCCUUGUUGCAUCUUGUAUUCCCAUGUCAUCCAUGGUAUAUGAGCUUGAGCAUUUCCUUAGCAAAUUUGUUGUGA
rnacentral:rRNA from 1 species